AUUAAACGCUGGCGGCAGGCCUAACACAUGCAAGUCGAGCGAGUGGCGGACGGGUGAGUAAUGUCUGGGAAACUGCCUGAUGGAGGGGGAUAACUACUGGAAACGGUAGCUAAUACCGCAUACCAUCAGAUUUGCCUCUAUGGGAUUAGAUAGUGGGUGGGGUAACGGCUCACCUAGGCGACGUUCCCUAGCUGGUCUGAGAGGAUGACCAGCCAGAAUGGAACUGAGACACGGUCCGGACUCCUACGGGAGGCAGCAGUGGGGAAUAUUGCACAAUGGGCGCAAGCCUGAUGCAGCCAUGCCGCGUGUGUGAAGAAGGCCUUCAGGUUGUAAAGCACUUUCAGCGGGGAGGCGUUACCCACAGAAGAAGCACCGGCUAACUCCGUGCCAGCAGCCGCGGUAAUUC
rnacentral:rRNA from 1 species